rnacentral:rRNA from 1 species
CCGGCGCACGGGUGCGUAACGCGUAUGCAAUCUACCCUAUACUGAGGGAUAGCCCGGAGAAAUUCGGAUUAAUACCUCAUAGUAAUUAGAGAUCGCAUGAUUUUUAAUUUAAAGGUCACGGUAUAGGAUGAGCAUGCGUCCCAUUAGCUAGAUGGUAAGGUAACGGCUUACCAUGGCGACGAUGGGUAGGGGGCCUGAGAGGGUGGUCCCCCACACUGGUACUGAGACACGGACCAGACUCC